AAACAUGGAGGUUCGAUUAAGACCGCCACGUCCUGUGGCAACAUCGAACGAACCCACAUCGUGUGGG
rnacentral:sRNA from 1 species